CUUGCUAGAUGAUGUCGAGUGGCGGACGGGUGAGUAAUGCUUGGGAACUUGCCUUUGCGAGGGGGAUAACAGUUGGAAACGACUGCUAAUACCGCAUAAUGUCUUCGGACCAAACGGGGCUUCGGCUCCGGCGCAAAGAGAGGCCCAAGUGAGAUUAGCUAGUUGGUGAGGUAAAGGCUCACCAAGGCAACGAUCUCUAGCUGUUCUGAGAGGAAGAUCAGCCACACUGGGACUGAGACACGGCCCAGACUCCUACGGGAGGCAGCAGUGGGGAAUAUUGCACAAUGGGGGAAACCCUGAUGCAGCCAUGCCGCGUGUGUGAAGAAGGCCUUCGGGUUGUAAAGCACUUUCAGUUGUGAGGAAAAGUUAGUAGUUAAUACCUGCUAGCCGUGACGUUAACAACAGAAGAAGCACCGGCUAACUCCGUGCCAGCAGCCGCGGUAAUACGGAGGGUGCGAGCGUUAAUCGGAAUUACUGGGCGUAAAGCGCACGCAGGCGGUUUGUUAAGCUAGAUGUGAAAGCCCCGGGCUCAACCUGGGACGGUCAUUUAGAACUGGCAGACUAGAGUCUUGGAGAGGGGAGUGGAAUUCCAGGUGUAGCGGUGAAAUGCGUAGAUAUCUGGAGGAACAUCAGUGGCGAAGGCGACUCCCUGGCCAAAGACUGACGCUCAUGUGCGAAAGUGUGGGUAGCGAACAGGAUUAGAUACCCUGGUAGUCCACACCGUAAACGCUGUCUACUAGCUGUUUGUGACUUUAAGUCGUGAGUAGCGAAGCUAACGCGAUAAGUAGACCGCCUGGGGA
rnacentral:rRNA from 1 species